rnacentral:rRNA from 1 species
UACGUAGGGUGCAAGCGUUGUCCGGAAUCACUGGGCGUAAAGGGCGCGUAGGCGGCGCGGGGAGUCAACGGUGAAAGCUCGGCGCUCAACGCCGAGUCGGCCGUCGAUACUCCCGUGCUCGAGCACUGUAGAGGCAGGUGGAAUUCCGGGUGUAGCGGUGGAAUGCGUAGAGAUCCGGAAGAACACCGGUGGCGAAGGCGGCCUGCUGGGCAGUAGCUGACGCUGAGGCGCGACAGCGUGGGGAGCAAACAGG